UGGCUCAGAACGAACGCGGGCGGCGUGCUUAACACAUGCAAGUCGAGCGAGAAAGGGGGGGCAACCCCCUGAGUAGAGCGGCGCACGGGUGAGUAACGCGUGGGUAACCUACCCCCAGGCGGGGGAUAACUACUCGAAAGGGUGGCUAAUACCGCAUGAGACCACGGGAUCUCCGGAUCCUGAGGCCAAAGAUCGCACCGGCUUGCCGGUGCUGUCACCAGGGGAUGGGCCCGCGUCCGAUUAGCUAGUUGGUGAGGUAAUGGCUCACCAAGGCUCCGAUCGGUAGCUGGUCUGAGAGGAUGAUCUGCCACACUGGAACUGAAACACGGUCCAGACUCCUACGGGAGGCAGCAGUGAGGAAUAUUGCGCAAUGGGGGAAACCCUGACGCAGCAACGCCGCGUGGGUGAAGAAGGCCUUCGGGUCGUAAAGCCCUUUCGGACGGGACGAACGCUUCGCGGUGACAAGCCGCGAAGUCUGACGGUACCGUAGGAAGAAGCACCGGCUAACUCCGUGCCAGCAGCCGCGGUAAUACGGAGGGUGCGAGCGUUGUUCGGAAUUACUGGGCGUAAAGCGCGUGUAGGCGGCCUUGCAAGUCAGGCGUGAAAGCCCUCGGCUUAACCGGGGAAGUGCGUCUGAAACUGCUUGGCUUGAGUACGGGAGAGGGAGGCGGAAUUCCCAGUGUAGAGGUGAAAUUCGUAGAUAUUGGGAGGAACACCGGUGGCGAAAGCGGCCUCCUGGACCGAUACUGACGCUGAGACGCGAAAGCGUGGGGAGCAAACAGGAUUAGAUACCCUGGUAGUCCACGCGGUAAACGAUGGGCACUAGGUGUGGGGGGUAUCCACUCCUCCCGUGCCGAAGCUAACGCAUUAAGUGCCCCGCCUGGGGAGUAC
rnacentral:rRNA from 1 species